rnacentral:sRNA from 1 species
AAAGUGACAAAAUGGUUAAUAUUUUUCUCCUGUUUCAUUUAGCUAAAUCUAGGUAUAACAACUACAUGUAGCUGUUAUCAAAGGUUGUCAUCAAUUUAAAUAAAGUUAUAGACUUGUUAAAUCGUUACUCCGCGAUACGCUAAGUUUAAUUAGAUUGAUACUGUAAUAAGAUGAUUUUUGUCCAAGGGAUACCUUGAAAAUCCAAAUUUUAUAAAAUUUAACGAUCUGAUGAAUACAUGUACUUAGGAUAUAGUAAAACUGAAAACGUUGUCAUCUAUUCUUGGGUGUAAUAAAGAAUUGAAAAUU